AAGAGCUUCAAGGCUCCUCCCAACGUUGCCGAUGUAAAAGCAGGGAAGAGUCUGUUAAGCUCAGGAGGGAUAGCGCCAUGGACGUACGGCCUUGGGCUAUUUUGUUGAUGGGGUUUUAUUCCUCGAUCUGUAGCGCUAUCCAUCCUGAGUUUCACCGGUUCUUCUUGCUCUCUCUCUCUCUCUCUCUGGCGCGCGCAGUUUCAUCUAAGAAAACCAGGAAUGCUCUUCAUGUGGAAAAAUUAAAAGCAUACAGAAGAAGAAGAGGAGGAGGAGGAGAUAGAUCGGAGUUGCCUCCAGUCUCGAGACGAAAUGAGAUAUGGGAUUUGUGCUUGAAAUCGAUCAAUAAACUCUUUAUAUUUA